UGUUUGAUCCUGGCUCAGGACGAACGCUGGCGGCGUGCUUAACACAUGCAAGUCGAACGAUGAAGGUGGGAGCUUGCUCCUACUGGAUUAGUGGCGAACGGGUGAGUAACACGUGAGCAAUCUGCCCCUGACUCUGGGAUAAGCGUUGGAAACGACGUCUAAUACCGGAUACGAGCUGGGACCGCAUGGUCACCAGCUGGAAAGAACUUUGGUCAGGGAUGAGCUCGCGGCCUAUCAGCUUGUUGGUGAGGUAAUGGCUCACCAAGGCGACGACGGGUAGCCGGCCUGAGAGGGUGACCGGCCACACUGGGACUGAGACACGGCCCAGACUCCUACGGGAGGCAGCAGUGGGGAAUAUUGCACAAUGGGCGCAAGCCUGAUGCAGCAACGCCGCGUGAGGGACGAAGGCCUUCGGGUUGUAAACCUCUUUUAGCAGGGAAGAAGCGAAAGUGACGGUACCUGCAGAAAAAGCGCCGGCUAACUACGUGCCAGCAGCCGCGGUAAUACGUAGGGCGCAAGCGUUGUCCGGAAUUAUUGGGCGUAAAGAGCUCGUAGGCGGUUUGUCGCGUCUGCUGUGAAAAUCCGAGGCUCAACCUCGGACCUGCAGUGGGUACGGGCAAACUAGAGUGCGGUAGGGGAGAUUGGAAUUCCUGGUGUAGCGGUGGAAUGCGCAGAUAUCAGGAGGAACACCGAUGGCGAAGGCAGGUCUCUGGGCUGUAACUGACGCUGAGAAGCGAAAGCAUGGGGAGCGAACAGGAUUAGAUACCCUGGUAGUCCAUGCCGUAAACGUUGGGCACUAGGUGUGGGGAACAUUCCACGUUUUCCGCGCCGUAGCUAACGCAUUAAGUGCCCCGCCUGGGGAGUACGGCCGCAAGGCUAAAACUCAAAGAAAUUGACGGGGGCCCGCACAAGCGGCGGAGCAUGCGGAUUAAUUCGAUGCAACGCGAAGAACCUUACCAAGGCUUGACAUAUACUGGACCGCAUCAGAGAUGGUGUUUCCCUUCGGGGCUGGUAUACAGGUGGUGCAUGGUUGUCGUCAGCUCGUGUCGUGAGAUGUUGGGUUAAGUCCCGCAACGAGCGCAACCC
rnacentral:rRNA from 1 species